rnacentral:rRNA from 1 species
AUCCAGGCCAGCAUCGGUUUGGAUGGUUGGUUAAAGACUUUAGGAAUGUAUCUACCUUCGGGUCGACUUAUAGCCUAGAGUGUAAUGCGACCUAUCUAGACCGAGGAACGCGCUUUUUGCUCGGAUGUUGGCGUAAUGGUUGUAAGCGG